rnacentral:rRNA from 1 species
GAUGAACGCUGGCGGCGUGCCUAAUACAUGCAAGUCGAGCGAACAGAUGAGGAGCUUGCUCCUCUGACGUUAGCGGCGGACGGGUGUGUAACACGUGGAUAACCUACCUAUAAGACUGGGAUAACUUCGGGAAACCGGAGCUAAUACCGGAUAAUAUAUUGAACCGCAUGGUUCAAUAGUGAAAGACGGUUUUGUUGUCGGUUGUGGAUGGAUCCGCGCCGCAUUAGCUUGUUGGUGGGGUAACGGCUUACCAAGGCAACGAUGCGUAGCAGGCCUGAGAGGGUGACCGGCCACAGUGGGAAUGAGAUACGGCCCAGACUCAUACGGGAGGCAGCAGUGGGGAAUAUUGCAAAAUGGGCGGAAGCCUGAUGCAGCAACGCCGCGUGCGGGAUGACGGCCUUCGGGUUGUAAACCGAUUUCGCCUGUGAAGAAGAGUGAGUGACGGUAAUGGGUAAAGAAGCACCGGCUAACUACGUG